AUUGAACGCUGGCGGAAUGCUUUACACAUGCAAGUCGAACGGUAGAGGGGGCAACCCCCUUGAGAGUGGCGAACGGGUGAGUAAUAUAUCGGAACGUGCCCAGUCGUGGGGAUAACGUAGCGAAAGUUACGCUAAUACCGCAUACGAUCUAAGGAUGAAAGCGGGGGAUCGCAAGACCUCGCGCGAUUGGAGCGGCCGAUAUCAGAUUAGGUAGUUGGUGAGGUAAAGGCUCACCAAGCCAACGAUCUGUAGCUGGUCUGAGAGGACGACCAGCCACACUGGAACUGAGACACGGUCCAGACUCCUACGGGAGGCAGCAGUGGGAAUUUUGGACAAAUGGGCGGCAAGCCUGAUCCACGCAAUGCCGCGUGCAGGAUGAAGG
rnacentral:rRNA from 1 species